GGAGGUAUAGCUCAAGUGGUAGAGUAUGUGCUUAGCAUGCAGGAGGUUCUGGGUUCAAUCCCCAGUACCUCCU
rnacentral:tRNA from 1 species